CUGCAGCCCGAGUGGUGAUCGAUUUUAUUGAGCCUAAAGCGUCCGUAGCCGGACUAGUAAACCCUUGGGUAAAUUGGGCAGCUUAACUGUCCGAAUUCCGAGGGGACUGCUAGUCUUGGGACCGGGAGAGGUCAGAGGUACUCCAGGGGUAGGGGCUAAAUCCUGUAAUCCUUUGGGGACCACCAGUGGCGAAGGCGUCUGACUAGAACGGAUCCGACGGUAAGGGACGAAACCCUGGGGCGCGAGCCGGAUUAGAGACCCGAGUAGUCC
rnacentral:rRNA from 1 species